UUUCCUUUGUCCUUCAAAGUUUCGCACAUGGAUGACGUGGCCAGACAAAAGAAAGUUAAAGAGUGUUUUAUUAAAGUACUUUAGGAGGCAGUGAGGGAAACACCACUAAUUUUCCUCAUUGACGAGGCCCAGUAUAUGGAUGCAGCUUCCUGGGAGUUUUUGGAAACAUUGCUCUCCAGUAUGCCCAUCAUCAUGGUGAUGACGUUGACCCCUAUCUUCACCCUGUGUGGCUGGGCCGAGCAGUUCCUGCAGAGCCCUCAAGCUAUCCUUAUGCCUGUUUCGAAGUUGGCAACAACCUCGCUGUUGAGAAUGGCAUGUUGGGAACUAGGGGUGCUACCCUUCACAGGUGCUUUGGAAACCCACUUUAUUGUGAGGUCCUAUGCCAGGACCUUCUCUCUAACGACAUGUUGCUCUUUCAUGUCCUACAAAAGGAGGAAGAGGAAAACAGCAAGUGGGAAACCCUCUCAGCCAAUGCCAUGAAAUCCAUAAUGUAUAGUAUUUCUCCUGCCAACUCUGAGGAAGGCCAGGAACUUUAUGUCUGCACAGUCAAGGAUGAUGUGAACUUGGAUACAGUACUUCUCCCACCCUUUUUGAAAGAAAUAGCAGUAAGCCAACUGGAUCAACUGAGCCCAGAGGAACAGUUGCUGGUCAAGUGUGCUGCAAUCAUUGGUCACUCCUUCCAUAUAGAUUUGCUGCAGCACCUCCUGCCUGGCUGGGAUAAAAAUAAGCUACUUCAGGUCUUGAGAGCUCUUGUGGGUAUACAUGUGCUCUGCUGGUCUGACAAGAGCCAAGAGCUUCCUGCUGAGCCCAUAUUAAUGCCUUCCUCUAUCGACAUCAUUGAUGGAACCAAAGAGAAGAAGACAAAGUUAGAUGGUGGUUCAGCCUCUCUUCUCAGGCUACAAGAAGAAUUAUCCCUACCACAAACUGAGGUGUUGGAAUUUGGAGUGCCUCUGCUACGGGCAGCUGCUUGGGAGCUCUGGCCCAAGGAACAACAGAUAGCUCUGCACCUUGAAUGUGCCUGCUUUCUCCAAGUUUUGGCCUGCCGCUGUGGGAGCUGCCAUGGAGGAGACUUUGUCCCCUUUCAUCAUUUUGCAGUUUAUUCUACUAAGAAUUCCAAGGGGACCUCUCGAUUCUGUACUUACAGAGAUACUGGCUCAGUGCUAACACAAGUGAUCACAGAAAAAUUGCAGCUGCCUUCUCCCCAAGAUAGUUUUCAGUUCCAGACAAAGCCAUCCAGAACUCAGGAGGCCUUCUCAAGUGAAUGCUGCAGAACAGAGGAAGAGUUCCUAGAUCAAGUGAAGAGGAAGCUGGCUCAGACCAGCCCUGAGAAAGACCUGUUGACCACAAAGCCUUGUCACUGUAAGGAUAUCCUGAAGUUAGUGCUCUUACCCCUCACCCAGCAUUGCUUGGUCGUUGAAGAAACCACCUGUGCAUUUUAUUACCUGCUGGAGGCUGCGGCUGCCUGCUUGGACCUGUCAGAUAAUUAUAUGGCCUUCUUUUAUUUGAGGAAGGCAAGCAGUCUUCUGGGCCAACCCUCAGCAUUUUCAUUUUUGAAAAAACAGAAGGUGAAGAUCUGUCAGUUUGAGGAGGCCACUUUCUGCCGUCUUCUGUCAGAGAAUCACGUAGACUUUAUCACUUUCUUGAGGGAUUCAGCCUUAGAAUGUGAAGAUACAGGAUAA
ensembl:lincRNA